rnacentral:piRNA from 1 species
UAUGAACCAAAGCUGGAGCUUAUUAAGAAA